rnacentral:lncRNA from 1 species
CCUCCAGCGUCUUCUCCUUCGUCUAAACUCUCCAACGUCUCCUCCUUCGUCUCAACUCUCUGACAUCUCCUCCUCCAUCUUAGAUCCGAGACGCAUUCAUUUCAUCCCAACCCAAGACGACAAGAUCUGUAGCUUCUGCCUGUCUUCGAUCUCAACCUCUGCGUAUUUUCCUCGUCUCAUAUCUGAGACAUCCAUUCUAUCCAAACCCAAGACGACGAGACUGGCCCGUAGCCCUCGCCCGUCUCCAAUCUUAACCUUUGCGUCUCCUCCUCCGUCUCAGAUUUGAGACAUCUGUUCCGUCCAUCUCCAAUCUCAUAUCCCAAUCCCUCCUCCGCAAGUACAUUAACUUUCAAUUAGUUAUUUGGUUGUUUUAAAAUAAAUAUUGACUGUAGCAUAGUUCUAUUUCAAUAGUUUGUGGAAUUCAAUUGAUA